UUUUGAAAAAUUUCAGAAAAUGAUUCUACAAAAAAAAAAAGAAUGUUCAUGUAGUUGCAUCACAUUUAGGAUCGAGUCUAGAGUGUUUCAUUUAGGAUUGUUGCAUAUGCAUAGGGGAUGAUGAUGAGAUAGCCUUGUAAGCAUUUUGAUUCACCUGAUAAACUCAGUGCCCUCGUUGCUAGUUGUCUGUUGCGUAGUCAAUGAAUUUGAAAUAAAACUGAACCAUGCCUAGAUUGCUCUACUCGACCACACUGUCAUGAUCUGAUACCAUUCCCUAUCAAUUUGAACCUGAAUCUGAUCUUUAAUUAUCAUGUCUGCAUCAAAUUUGAACUCAUGGAUACCCUAAAAUACUUGGAUUCUCUUAUUCAUUUUGAUCACUCUUGUUAAUCCAAGUAGCUGACUCUCCUUAUUAGAGCAGUUAACCCAAACCCAAACCUAGACUUUCUUUCAAGCCCUAUAUCACUUGUGAGUGUUUGUGAGGUCUUAUUCCGAUUAAGCUUGGUAGAAAGUGUUAGGUUCGUAACGACAGAGAUAGUGUCUCAUGUAGUUCUAGUUCACAUUUUUCGGACUAGAUAGAACUAGGUGGGUGCUUAUACUUUGGGUUGGGAUGUGUUUAAUAGAAAAAAAAGGAGAGGUUGAUUCAUUGAUGAGAAAAGGUAAAGGACUCUAGGUGAAGUAAGCUAAAAAAGCAGAAAAAGUCUAGUAAAGGUUUUGGGAUUUGUAAAGAAAAGAAAGAGUUCUUGUUAGCUAUUGAAGAUGGGCAAAAGCCCUUGGUUUUAAAAUGUUAAAAACAGGAACCUUAGUUGUUAAAGAAAUCCAAAUCCGCUAGAUAUAUCAAAGUGUUGAAGCUUCGCCUAGAGUUAAGAGAAAAGAAAAGAAUGAUUAGAAAAAGGGCUUAAAAGAUUCAUGAACGCAAAGGGUAGAGUUUAGUUCUUGUAUUGGGAUUGGAGAUGGGAUUACCAUUAGAGCUUCAUUUGAUGUACUCUGGGUAGAUGGGAUCUUAUCUCUGUAUGCAUAGCUUGGGACUUACCUUUAGCAUUCUACUAAAGCUUAAUCAUUUUUUGAGAGAUCCCCUGUUACUAAAGCCUAUUCUGUAAGGGACCAUCUUUGUCUCUUGACCUUUUACCUUAGCCAAAUGAGUUCUUUGAUGAUGCAUUGCUUGAUUCACGUUCCAGAACUAAUGAAUGUUAAAGGGAUUGGUGGAUUUGAAAACUUAUGUAGGUCGAGCAUAUGAGUCGGAUUGAUUGAUUAAUGAGGCAUGGCUAACGUUUUUAAGUAGAAUUCGAUCUUGCAGCUUAGAACUUUCAACUUGGACAUUGAUUUCAUCUGGUUUAUCUAGUGCUUUGGCUCUGAGUCCCCGCUUUCAAACCUCACCUCCAGCUUGUUCUUGAUUGUUUGCUUGAGGGCAAGCAAAGACUAAGUUUGGGGGAGUUGAUAAGUGUGUAUUUUGCAUGUUUUGAGCAUCCAUUUGUCAUCACUUUAGCAUCAUAUCAUCACUGUUUUAUACCAUUUCACAUCAUUUGUCAUCACUUUGCAUGUUUAGGAUAGUUUUGCAUGCAUGUUGCAUAUUUGCGUUGAUUUCAGGUGAUUUGGAGCUGUUGACGAGCUAUCUGGAAGAAGCAGACCUGAUCAUGACAAACCACUCGACCCAGAGGUCGAGUAGGAGCUUCAAGAUCUCAAGAGACCACUCGACAACCAGGUCGAGUGCCAUCAUCUCCAUCACCAGACGGUCACUCGAUCACUUCACUCGACCUUGUCGAGUGUCUUCACCUCCAUCAUCAGACAACCACUCGACCUCCUCACUCUACCUAGAGGUCGAGUAUCUCCAUCACACCACUCGACUGCAUACUCGAUGACAAGCUUCAGAGCCUUCUUCAUUCCGCACUCAACCAGACACUCGAGCACAAGGAAGAAAAGAAGACUCCAGCUAUUCACUCGAGCUCUCACUCGACCACGUUGGUCGAGUACAGUUCUUAACCCGUCCAAAUACUUCGUCGUUUUGAGUAUUAGGGUUUCGGGAUAUUUGGCUAUAAGUAGCAUGUACUUCUCAUUUUCGCAAGGA
rnacentral:sRNA from 1 species